GGUUCAUUCAAAUUUCUGCCCUAUCAACUUUCGAUGGUAGGAUAGUGGCCUACCAUGGUUUCAACGGGUAACGGGGAAUUAGGGUUCUAUUCCGGAGAGGGAGCCUGAGAAACGGCUACCACAUCCAAGGAAGGCAGCAGGCGCGCAAAUUACCCAAUCCCGACCGGGGAGGUAGUGACAAUAAAUACUGAUACAGGGCUCUUUUGGGUCUUGUAAUUGGAAUGAGUACAAUUUAAAUCCCUUAACGAGGAACAAUUGGAGGGCAAGUCUGGUGCCAGCAGCCGCGGUAAUUCCAGCUCCAAUAGCGUAUAUUAAAGUUGUUGCAGUUAAAAAGCUCGUAGUUG
rnacentral:rRNA from 1 species